GACUACCGGGGUAUCUAAUCCUGUUUGCUCCCCACGCUUUCGUGCAUGAGCGUCAGUACUGGCCCAGGAGGCUGCCUUCGCCAUCGGUGUUCCUCCGCAUAUCUACGCAUUUCACUGCUACACGCGGAAUUCCACCUCCCUCUGCCGUACUCUAGUUAUGCAGUCACAAACGCAGUUCCCAGGUUGAGCCCGGGGAUUUCACAUCUGUCUUACAUAACCGCCUGCGCACGCUUUACGCCCAGUAAUUCCGAUUAACGCUCGCACCCUACGUAUUACCGCGGCUGCUGGCACGUAGUUAGCCGGUGCUUCUUCUUCCGGUACCGUCAUCCACGCAGAGUAUUAUCCUGCGCGAUUUCUUUCCGGCUGAAAGAGCUUUACAACCCGAAGGCCUUCUUCACUCACGCGGCAUGGCUGGAUCAGGCUUUCGCCCAUUGUCCAAAAUUCCCCACUGCAGCCCCCCGUAGG
rnacentral:rRNA from 1 species